rnacentral:lncRNA from 1 species
UUUUGUUGAAGAAGAGGCAAAAGGGUCCUCAAUUGAUGAACCUUUUGUUGAAGACAACGAAGAAAGUGAAGCCUAUGAACCAGAAGAAGAAGAAGAAGAAGAUAUUGAAGAAAGUGAAAACUAUGAACCAGAAGAAGAAGAAGAAGAAGAAUUAAUGGAAGGAAACAAUGUGUUAAGUACUGAAGAGAUGAACAAAAGAUUUGAUGAAUUUAUCAGAAAAAUGAAGGAAGGAUUAAGGAUCGAAGCUCAACAACAAUUAGUCAUGCAGGUUUAAUCAUCACCAAAGAAUCAAAAUCUCCAUAUUGUUCAUAUAGUUUCCAUGUUUGUAUAAUAUAUAUAUUUUUCUGUUCUUCUCCUUUUCACUAUAAUUUUGUACAUAAAUGGUAGUAGUUUUAGUAGUCUGAAGCAUUAACCAGACCUGUUGAUGGGAUGGGAUGAUUGGGGAAUCAAAUUUGAAUUAGAAUUAAUCACAUUAAUUUUUCGUACUAAGGUCGAAAUUAGCAGGUCUAGUUAUAGUUAUAGCUCAUUUGCAAUAAAAAUCCUUGUUGUUUUAAAGGAUUAAUGUCGUAGUUUCACCUUAUGUAAACCAUGUGUUUGAUAAUACAAUAUUAGCUCCUUUAGUUUUUGCUUUUAACUCAUGUUGGACUCUUAUUUUAUUUUGAAAUAUUUCGUAUUUAAUAUAUAUCUGAACAUGAUUAUAAGUAGGGGUGGAUGAUUAUAUCAGAACAAUUUUUUAGGGGCGGAUGAAAGUUUUAUUUUUUAGAGUCUAUAUCUUUAUCAUUUUUAAAGGAUUAAAUCGAUUUUUUAUAAUUUUAGGGGGGCUAAAGUAUAAUUUUACCUUUACUAAUUUAAAUUUUAAAAAUAAUUAAGGGCCUAAAUAGUAGUUUUACAUUUUAGGGGGGUUGGGCCCCUGCCAUACCCUAGAUUCGCCACUGAUUAUAAUAAUAUAUUUUUUCAAAAGAAAAUGCACACAUACUUAUACUUAAAAGAUAAAAUAAUUUAUUCGACCCUUCAAUUUUACAAAUAAUAAUAAUAACACUCCAUUUAAUUUCUUAUUUAUUUUAGCUAUUAAACUUGCAUUAUUCACCAAAUCACUUCAAAAUAAAUAGAAAAAUUAACAUUUGUUAACUUUGCUGACAUGACAUGCAUAUGGAAUGGCACGAUGCCACAUCAACAAUUAAUUAUUUUUUAAUUUAAAAAUUCAAUAAAAUUAUUUAAAAGUAUAAAUUUAUAAAAAAAUAUUUUUUUAAAAUUAAUUAAUGACUAACGUAGCAUCCAUGUGGAUUGCCAUAUGGAUACCAUAUCAGCAAAGUUAACAUACAUUAAUUUUUUUCAUCUAUUUUAGCGUAAUUUGACAAACAAUGCAAACCCAAAAGCCAAAAAGGAUAAAAAAAAUUAAUAAAAAUUUAACAUGAUUUAUUAUAAAGUUGAUAGAUCAAAUAAAUCAUUAUACGUAUUUAAAACUCAAAUCUAAAUCCGAGUAACUCUAUCAUUAUAGGUAAUUUUUUUGAACGAUCUCAUUAUAAGUUUUGAUCAUAUCUAUUUUUUAACACAAUGCUACCAAUAGCCCAUAGCCCCUCCUUAACCCAUAAAUAAGAAGAAAAUGCGCUUCAGCUAGCUCCAACCCACGUCCUCUUGCAUUGACAAUAAUACUUAUACUAAUCGAACUAAGACUUCAACCACCAUUUUUUUUCAAAGUAAUUUAGUUGCCAGUAACUUUCAAAUUUAAAGAGAAAAAGAAAAUUCAUGGUGGCAUUUCAAUUUCAUGGACUUAUUUAGGAUCUAAUCAACCAAUUAAAACUAAUUUAUUGAUACAGGUGAAUGAUAGAGAAAAUAAAAUAGUUUAAUAUUUUAUAAUUUUUAAAAUAUUUAUUGACGUGGUAUAUAGACAAAUAGUGUCAUGUUAGCAUGGAGCAUACAUGGACUAUCACGCAGGUUGUCGCGCCAACAUCACUAAAAAUAUAAUGUUUUAGUUAGCAUUUAACUUAAAAAAGUGAUUUGACUGUUUUCAAAAGAUUAAUAAUCAAAUUUAGCUAAAAAAAAGAAUAACAGCUAAAUUGACAAAAGAUGUAAAUGUUGAAGGUUAAAUUUAUCAUUAUAAAGGACUUAAUUUUUUAAUUUUUUAAAAUAGAAAUUAGAUUUUAAAUUUUUUUCUAAGCCUAAAGACUAAUAGUAUAUUUAAACAUAAAAAAAAAGUGUGAUUAAAUCCAAAAGUUUUAAAAGAUGAGAUGAAAUUGAAUGUGGUGCAAAUACUAAUAUUUGAACAUGAUGGCAAUUAGGACUAGUUUUGAUUGAUUUGUUGAUAAGAUUGACUAUGAUGCUUUUUCAACACUUUGGGGUGUCUUUUUGCAAAUAGACAAAUUAUAGUUUGGUAGAGGCCAAAAUUAGUGAUUUAUUUUACUACACAUCACCACAGCAAUAAAGGAAAAUUAAUCUAACAACUAAUCCCCUUUUGACAGCUUCCAAGAUAUUUUGAAUUGCAUUUACACAUAAAUGUCAACAUGAAGUUUCAUCUAUGUUAUGAGAAGAAAAUCAACACUAAUAUUACUUCAAGAAAAAUUUAAAAAAAAAUUGGAAGGUAAAAGUAUAAUGGCAGUUUAAAAUAUUUUAAGGGUCAAAUUAUAUUUUGCUCUAUUUACUAAAAAAAUGGGUAAAUUAGUCUAUGUAACUUAGAUCAAAGAGCAAACUAGUUUUUCUAUUAAAAAUUUCAUCCAUUUCUACUAUUAAAAAUUAGUCCAUGUACAUUAGAAUGAGAUACAUGUGGCACGUUAAGUUUAACUGUUUGGUUAUUCUGUCAAUCACGUCAAUUUUUAACAAUAAAAAUAGAUAAAAAUUUUAAUAGAAAUGACCAAUUUACUUUUUGAUCUAAUGUAUAGGGAAUAACUUGUCCAUUUUUUUAGGGAAUAAUUAUGUGUGUAAUUAGCUAAUCUUAAUAUAUAUAUAUUCUUAGAAAAUCUAAUCUUGGACAUGUAUGGUUUUUUUUUUUUAGUAAAGAAUCCUUAAUUAAAAUGGAAUUCGAGAAAAUUUACUUUUGCAAAAUGUAUCACAAUACCAAUUGUAAACCUCGUUUAGAGAAAGAAGUACAUAAAUAAACUCUAUUAAUUAAAACCCAAAUUCGAUUCAACCUAAUUUAAUAAUAAAAUGUUAACAACUCGAAUCUAAACUGCUUCGAAUUUAAAGUUGAUUUAAAUCCAAUAGAAUUAAAAUCUUAAAUGACUUAAAUCCAAAUAAAUAAUCAAAAUGAUUCAAACCUAAAAUGAUCCAAACUAAAAAAAAUUUAAAUCAUAAAAUCGACAUAAUCCAAAAUUAAAAAAAACCUAAAUUGAAUUACAACAAAACUAAAAAGUACCUAAACCCUCGUCUAAAACCAACUUCACUAAAUUGACAUAUUUACUCUAUAAUAUAAUCAAUUGGGGACCCCCGAAAAGCAAUGGCUUACAUACUAAAACUUUCAUGAAACAGAAAAGGGGUAAUAUCAUUUUUGGUCCGAUAAUGAGGUUUAUUUAGUAUUUGUAUUUCUUUCUCUAUUUUAACACUUGAAUUUGACAACUAAAUUCAUUUUGGUCCCUAAAUUUAAAAAAUUAUAGCGCAACACUUUAAUUUGUGCCACAUCAUCACUUGAAAACUAAAAACAAUUAUAUAAAUUUUUAGGUGAUGACGUGGUACAAUCAUAGAGUGUAACAUACAACAAUCUAAUAAUCGGACUAGUUGGUUAAACCGAUCAAACCAUUGGUGCUCGAUUCGAUCAAUUUGAUCAAUUCAACUGCUAGACAAACAAUGAUUAAAUAAAUAAUUAAAAAUUCAUAAAAAAUAAUUUUUAUUAAACAUGGUCCAUUAUCAGUUUUCAAUUUUGUCAGUUUUGAGUUAUUUUCGAUUCAAUUGGUUCAACCCUUUUGUUUGGACCAAUAUAUCAAUCGGUUCUCGAUCCAGUCAUUUUCGAUCCACCGAUCCGGUCAUGUUCCAAGAACACUAGUUACUUGAUCAAAUAUUGAUAGAAUUCAAGUUCAAGGAUCAAAAUGGAUCUAGUUAUCAAAUUCAAGUGCCAAAGUAAACAAAAAAAAAGUACAAGCAUCAAAGUGAACUUAAUUGCCAAGUUCAAGAAGAUAUUAAGGUAUAACCAAGUAAACCGUCAAGUGAUUGGGUUCAAUGAUUUCAAACCUUGGAGACAACAUUGUCGAAAGGAGCAAGUACAAACCCCAACUCAAUCUGUAAAAUGCGAAGUAAAAAUAAAACUGUAUAACAAGUAAAUAUGAAGAAACUCAACCCUCUGUUCUCCAUUGUCAGCCAUGGCUACCAAUUCGAUCCGAAGUUGAAGAUAUUCUCAUUUUGCAUCACUUUCGGAGGAGACCUUUGGGGUGGUACUGAGGAGAGAAGAAUAUGAAAGCUUUUCUAAAAGCUACUUUCGUAGUUGCGUAACAAAAAAAAUCAUAAUUGAACCACUACUAUUGUAAUUAAAAAAUAUUUUAUAUUGAGAUUAAACCACAACUUGCUAAUUACAUGUUAAACAAUAUCUUUAACAAUAUCUUUCUUCAAAACAACAUCAAUGAAUAUUUCAAUCUAACUUGCUAAUUACAUGUUGAUGGGCUCAAAACGUCUCGGGAGGAAAGGAUACGUCGACAGAAGUGACAGCAAAGCGGCGGUUGAUUUGAUUCAUGGGACCGAUAGGGUUGUACUACCAAGACUGGGUUUGGAAAUUUGCAAUUGGAUAGGGACUGACAAGUUAAGGUUCAAUAUGUGCCAUGAACAACAAAUAUGGCAGCAAAUGCUAUAACCAGAAAGGUUAGGAGUAAUGCAAAGGGAUUUCACUUCUUCAUUCACCCCCUUCAAUGGUUCAAGAUGUAAUGAUAAGAGAUAAAUGUUAAACAACCCAACUUUUAACUUUCUUAGUUGAGCCUUAUAGUUAAACUUCCAUUUCUAUCCAUCUAUCUAUCUAUAUAUAUAUAUAUAUAUAUUUCAAUCAAAGUCCCUUGUGUUGUUAGCCUUAAAAAUUACCAAACCUACAAAUCUCGUUGCAUUCUUCCAAUUUCAAGAUUCCAACACCAAAAAGGAAAGGUUGAAGAAAUAAAAUGGAUCAAACAGAAAAGCAGAAGCAGAAGCAAUCACUGAGUCAGUUCCAUAGAAAACUGACUCGGUUGCUUCUUUCAGUUUCUAUUUUUUCCUUGUUUUUUUCUCAUUCUUUGUUCCAUUCCUUAAACUCCACUUUCCAUGACACACUUGCUUUCAAGUUUCUUAGCCAUAACAUAGAAAAAAACUUCAUAUUUCUUCUUUGCAAUGGCCUCCUUGUUUUCCUUGCAAAAUUUUCUGGACUCAUCAGUUCUUCAUCAAAGCAUAAUAAUGAUCAUCAGUCUUUCAAGAGCUAUGAAUAUGUUACUCAAACUGAGUCAACUAGUUUGGAUCCCAAAACACCAUUGUUAGAGAAGGAAGAAAAUGCUGGUCUUGAUGAAGAAGAGUUAAAACGGGCAUCAGUUGAUGAACCUUUUGUUGAAGAGAUGAACAAAAGGUUUGAUGAAUUUAUCAGAAAGGUGAAAGAAGAAUUAAGCACGGAAGCUUGACAACAGUUAGUCAUUGUUUAUAAUUUGUCAAAUCAUUUCGGGUUUUGGGCAAUGAAUUUUUUAGGUUGGGUAAUGAAGGCAUCGAAGAAUGGCACAGUAGUAAAUCAGGGUUGACGAUGUUUGGGGCCUUGGAACCUUGAUAAAGUUACACGGAGUAAACACAAUCUAACCAACAAGGUCCAGAAGAGCCAGUGGGUGGACAAUGUAUAUUGGCUCACCCAUACACGACGCUGAUGGACACAGUGAAAAAGCUGAGGAUGACGAUGUUUUUGGUAUCGUUAAUGGAGAUCACACUGAUGAAGAAGCUGGCAAAGAUGAGCAAUAUCACUUAACAAGAUUAUUUAAUACAAUUUCAGACUUUUACUAAGCUUUGAACACAUGUUUGAAAUUAUUUUGAACUAUUCCCAAGGUGUUUGAAUUUACCCACAGAAUAAAAUGGGGUUCCAAGGACCUAGAAUGACUAAAAAUACAAGGUGUAGUGGCUUAAGUCUCGAGACUCAGCAACAAAUCCUAAUACUGGGCCUAUAGGUCUUGAGAGUUGGACUUCCUACUACAAAUUUUUACUAUUGACUAGCCAGUCUUGUUACUAGAAGGGUUUAAUCUCAAGACUUAAUGUUGGGGACCUCAAAAUUGGUUCAAAAACACUUUGAAUCAUCCCCAAACAUCAUCAUAUGAUACCAGUAAAUCUCAAAUAAUUUCAAAACCAUUUUAAAGCUCAUUCUAGCUUAAUUUCAAGUUAUACUCAUGUUCAAAUGUCAAAUAAAAUAUUCACAUAAUUUCAAAUGACACAUGGUAACUCAAAUAAAUGUAAUUAUAAACAGUUAUACUAGCCUAAACCUUUAUGUACAUGUCAUUACACCAUCAUAACUAAUACAUAAAAUUAAUUACUUUACAGCCUUCCGACCUCAUACACUAAUGCGAUCCUCCCUAUAUACGAUCUCAAGCUCUUUGGAAAAGUUUUUACCUAUGGGUUAUAACUAACACGUUAAGCUCAAAGAGUUCCAUAAGUACACUCAAGCUUCCUACUUUACCUUAUCUCAUAUAUAUAUAUAUAUUAUUAACCCUGAGUUUAAUUAUUGAGCUUAAUUGAGCUCAAACUCGAGUAGCUCAAGUAUAUCUCGACCCAAGAUCAAACUUAAAAAUAAAUAUUCGAUCAAGUUCAAACCAAGUAUCGAGCUUCAAAUUUCAAGUCGAACUUAACAGUAUUUAGACUCGGAUUAGCUCAAUUCUAAAGCAAAAUAACAGUGGCUUAAAAGAGAGAAAUAUUCAUUUGUAACCCAAAUUAAAUGAGUUGAUGAUAACCAAUUAGAACUAACGUACUGAUAUGGGCGUAUGAUAGAGAAAGGACACUCCUAGCCAAGGACCCUAUCUUAUGGUUCCUAUAUGAUAUCAGGUCUUUUUAGUUCCAUCUAUAAUUGCCUUGUUUUAAUGACAUUAAUUUGGUAUUCCAUUUAUUUUAACAAAUGGUUAAAUUUUGUCGUUAAUCUCUAUACUUCUAUGAACUUUGAGAUUUAGUCCAUAUGUUUUAAAAGUUCUAGUCCAGUCACUAAAACCAUUAGUACUUUUCGUCAAAAUUUGUCAACUCGAUAUUAUAUAAAGGCAGUCUAAUCAACAUGUCAAAUUGGUAUUUUUCUAAAAAAAUACUAACAAUGUUAAUGAUUGGAUGACUUUUUAAGUAUAAUAACUAAAUCUUAAAAAAAAUCGAAUAUACUACUUAUUAGUUAGUUCUUCAUUUUACUUAUAUGAAGCAGCGAUUAAAAUUUUUAUCAAACACCCGUUUGAUACAAGUUCAAAUUAUGUUAUCCUAUCCCAAUAUUUAUUAAGAAAAGUUUUUUUAAUAUAUAUUUACAAAGAAGUCCUAGUUGAAAGAUGGUAAUAGUUAAGGACUUAGACAUUAGAUAUAAAGAGAAUUUUUUUAAAAAAAAAAUCCUAAUUUAAUUAUUAUAAAAGAAGUUGUAUUUGGAAAUUUAAACCCAAACUUGGUAGUUACAAUGUUAAAUAAAUUUUUUUAAAAAUCAAAUAAAAACUCAAAUCAAUUUGAUUCAUCUAUAAAAAGGGCAUACCCCUUUAGUUUCUUAGCCUUACAAAUUACCAAACAUAGACAUCCCAUUGCAUCUUCCAAUUUCAAGUCUCCAACACCAAAAAGGAGAGUUUGAAGGGGAAAAAUGGAUCAAACAGGAAACCAGAAGCAGAAGCAAUCACUGAUGAGUCAGUUCAUAGAAACUCAGUUCCAUAGAAAUCUGACUCAGUUGCUUCUUUCAGUUUCUAUUUUUUCCUUGUUUUUUUCUCACUCAUAUUGCCUUUCCUUGUUCCAUUCCUUUAGCUUCACUUUCCAUAACACACUUGCUUUCAAGUUUAUUAGCCAUAACAUAGAUAAAAACUUCAUAUUCCUUCUUUGCAAUGGCCUCCUUGUUUUCCUUGCAAAAUUUUCUGGACUCAUUAGUUCUUCAUCACAGCAGAGUAAUCUUAGUGAUGAUUACUAUAAUCAUCAGUCUUUCAAAAGCUAUACAUACAUCCCUCAAACUGAGUCGACCCGCUUGGACACCUCAACACCAUUGUUGGACUUGGAGAAGGAAGAAAACGCUGGUUUUGUUGACGAAGAGGCAAAAGGGUCCUCAAGUGAUGAACCUUUUGUCGAAGACAAUGAAGAAAGUGAAACCUAUGAACCAGAAGAAGAAGAAGAAGAUAUUGAAGAAAGUGAAAACUAUGAACCAGAAGAAGAAGAAGAAGAAUUAAUGGAAGGAAACAAUGUGUUAGUACUGAAGAGAUGAACAAAAGAUUUGAUGAAUUUAUCAGAAAAAUGAAGGAAGGAUUAAGGAUCGAAGCUCAACAACAAUUAGUCAUGGUUUAAUCAUCAUCAAAGAAUCAAAAUCUCCAUAUUGUUCAUAUAGUUUCCAUGUUUGUAUAAUAUAUAUGUUUUUCUGUUCUUCUCCUUUUCACUAUAAUUUUGUACAUAAAUGGUAGUAGUCUUAGUUGUAUGAAGCAUUAACCAGACCUGUUGAUGAGAUGGGAUGAUUCUGGGUCGAGUCGGGUUUUCUUAUUUAAGUUUAGUAUUCGGGUUCAAAUCAUUUUUAUUUAGUUCUUUCUUGAGUUUAAUAUUAAACGGAUUCAAACUGUUGAUUUUUAUGAUAAAAACUGUGUUGAAUCAAAUUUGAAUUAGAAUUAAUCACAUUAAAUUUUCGUACUGAGGUCGAAGUUAGCAGUUCUAGUUAUAGCUCAUUUGCAAUAAUAAUCCUUGUUGUUUUAAAGGAUUAAUGUCGUAGUUUCACCUCAUGUAAAUCAUGUGUUUGAUAAUACAAUAUUAGCCCCUUUAAUUUUUGCUUUUAACUCAUGUUGGACUCUUAUUUUAUUUUGAAAUAUUUCGUAUUUAAUAUAUAUCCAAACAUGAUUAUAAGCAGGGGUGAAGUCAGAACAAUUUUUUAGGGGUGGAUGAAAUUUUUGUUUUUUAUAGUAUUUAUCUUUAUAAUUUUUAAAUGAUUAAAUCGAUUUUUUAUAAUUUUAGGGGGUUAAAAUAUAAUUUUACCUUUACUAAUUUAAAAUUUUAAAAAAAUUAAGAACCUAAAUAGUAUUUUUACAUUUUAGGGGGGCCAGGCUGGCAGGCCCUUGCCAUCCCCUAGAUUCGCCACCGAUUAUAAGAAUAUAUUUUUUUCAAAAGAAAAUGCACACAUACUUAUAUUUAAAAGAUAAAAUAACUUAUUCGACAAUUCAAUUUUACAAAAUAAUAAUAAUAAUAACACUCCGUUUAAUUUCUUAUUUAUUUUAGCUAUUAAACUUGUAUUAUUCGCCAAAUCACCUCAAAAUAAAUAGAAAAAUUAACAUUUAUUAACUUUGCUGACUAACAUUCAAAUGGAAUGGCACGAUGUCACAUCAACAAUUAAUUAUUUUUUUAAUUUAAAAAUUCAAUAAAAUUAUUAAAAAGUAUAAAUUUAUAGAAAAUAUUUUUUUAUUUUUUAAAAAUUAAUUAAUUACUAACGUAACAUCCAUGUGGAUGCCACAUCAGCAAAGUUAACAGACAUUAAUUUUUUAUCUAUUUUAGCGUAAUUUGACAAACAAUACAAACCGAAAAGCUAAAAAGGAUAAAAAAAUAAAUGAAAAUUUAAAAUAAUUUUUUUAUAAAGUUGAUGGAUCAAAUAAAUCAUUAUACGUAUUUAAAACUCAAAUCUAAAUCCAAGUAACACUAUCAUUAUAGGUAAUUUUUUUUGAACGAUCUCAUUAUAAGUUUUGAUCAUAUCUAUUUUUUUAAACACAAUGCUUAGAAUUACCCAUAGCCCAUAGCCCAUAGCCUAUAGCCCCUCCUUAACCCAUGAAUAAGAGGAUAAUGCGCUUCAGCGCGCUCGAACCCACGUCCUUUUGUAUUAACAAUAAUAUUUAUAUCAAUCGAACUAAAACUUGAAGGACAAUUUUUUUCAAAGUAAUUUAGUUGCCAAUAACUAUUCAAAUUUAAAGAGAAAAGGAAAAUUCAUGGUGGCAUUUCAAUUUCAUUUUAGGAUCUAAUCAACCAAUUAGAACUAAUUUAUUGAUACAGAUGGAUGAUAGAGAAAAUAAAAUAUUAAAUGGGAAACUCCUAUGCCUCUAUGUAUCUUAUGGUUCCUAUCUUAUAUCUGGUCUUUUCAAUUUCACUUUCAAUUGUUUUAAUCACAUUAAUUUAGUAUCCUAUUAGGUUGCAUCUGUAUCAAUUGUACACUUGAUUAUAUUUUUUAUGAUUUUUUUUAAUUUUUAUAACAAAUAAUUGAUAAUUUUAUUAUGAGAUUAUAACAUUUUUAAUUUUAAAAUUUAUUUUUUAAAGAAAAAUACUAUUUUUUAAGGAAAAAUAUUAAAAAACCGAUGCAAUAUUUGUUUUGAACAAUCUCAAUUAUGUUCAUAUUUGCUAUUUUUAACAUAAUGGCUAAAACUACUCAUAGUUCAUUCCCAAUCCAUAGCUCCUAAAACUACCAUCAACCUUUCAAAAAAAAGUCAAAUUGUUGUAUUUUUAACGAAAAUAUUGAAUAAAAUAUUAAAUUUUUAAGCAUGGCAGUUCGCAUGACAAUUCAUGUGUACUUCAUGUUUUUUUUAAUAUUUUAUAAUUUUUAAAUUAUUUGCUGACGUGGUACAUAGAUAAAUAGUGUCGUGUAUAUGUUACCAUGGAGCAUACAUGGACUACCACGUAGGUUUUCGCGCCAACAUCGCUAAAAAUAUAAUAUUUUAGUUAGCAUUUUCAUUAAAAAAGUGAUUUGGCUCUUCUCAAAAGAUCAAGAAUCAAAUUUAGCUACAAAAAAAAGAAUUACAGCUAAAUCGACAAAAGAUGUAAAUAUUGAAGGCUAAAUUUAUCAUUAUAAAGGACUUAAAUUUUUUAAUUUUUUAAAUUAGAAAUUAGAUUUUAAUUUAUUUUCAAAGCCUAAAGACUAAUAGUAUAUUUAAACAUAAAAAUUAGAAAAAUUGUGAUUAAAUCCAAAAGUUUUAAAAGAUGAGAUGAAAUUGAAUGUGGUGCAAAUACUAAUCUUUGAACAAAAGGUUUGAUGAAUUUAUCAGAAAGGUGAAAGAGGAAUUAAGCACGGAAGCUUGACAACAGUUAGUCAUUGUUGAUCAUUUGUCAAAUCAUUUCGGGUUUUGGGUAAUGAAUUUUUUAGGUUGGGUAAUGAAGGCAUCGAGGAAUGGCACAGUAGUAAAUCAGGGUUCACGAUGCUCGGGGCCUUGGAACCUUGAUAAAGUUACACAGAGAAAACACAAUCUAACCAACAAGGUCCAGAAGAGCCAGUGGGUGGACAAUGUAUAUUGUGUUGGGUAUGGGUCCCACUAUGUGGGAAACCCAUAUUUUCUGCCAUAAUGUUUUGUCUUUCUAUUAUUAUUGAGUGUCAAAUUCUCAAUUUAAAAGAGAGAAAAACAGAGAGUGAGAUUGAAGCUCGUUGGAGAAAAAGAGAGAAUAAAAAAAAAAUCAAUUUUUCAAGCUUGGUGCAGCAGUGAUCAACUCCUCGAUCGAAGGUCCAUCCGUGGUUCGAUUGAGCUGAUUUUUGGACAACAGCUAGAUGAUAAGGUGUUCUUGACUUUGUACAGUCAGAUUUUUCAUCCGAGUCUUGUAGCGUCGGAAAUACCCAUUUUUCAGCAGCUACAUUUUUGGUGAUGUUCUCUCAUUUUUCUCUCUUUUGCCAAAGAUUACAUAUUGUUAGCCUUGUCGGAGUUGAAUGCUUGUUGUAGGCUUGAUAUUGUGAUCUUGUAGUUGAACAUUUGAUGAUAGUGGAACUCUUGAUCGGACUCUAAAGUCCCAUGGUUUUUACCCUUGAUUUAGAAGGGGUUUUCCACGUAAAAAUACCGGUGUCUCUAUUUAUUUUUGUUGUGGUUGCAUUAGUUGAUUUGUGGUUGAUUAAGGUUGCUAGAGAACAUAUCUUGUGCUAUUGUGCUUGCCAUAAUUUUUGACAGGAGUUAUAAGGAGAGAAAGAACACCGGUUGUGCUUUCGCUUUGUUUCGGUUGUUCGGUUUCUUCCCAACAAACUGGUACCAGAGCUUGGUUAUUGUGUCAGAUAAUUAUGGAAAUUAAUACGAGCAAGAUGAUUAUGUUGAAUGGCACAAAUUAUCAACUUUGGCGGAAUGAAAUGAAGGACUUAUUGUUUGUGAAGGCUUUGCAUCUUCCGGUCUUUACUACUCAAAAACCCGAUUCGAAAAGUGAUGAAGAAUGGGAAUUUGAGCAUCAACAAGUGUGUGGCUUUAUUCGGCAAUUUGUUGAAGAAAAUGUUUACAACCACAUUGAUCAAGAGACACAUGCUCGAACAUUGUGGGAGAACCUUGAAAGCUUGUAUGCUUCGAGGUCGGGCAAUAACAAGUUGUUUUUGCUGAAGAAAAUGAUGGCGCUGAAAUAUAAAGAAGGAAUGUCUAUAGCUGACCAUGUUAGUGAAUUUCAGAGUGUGAUGAAUCAGUUGCUUGGUAUGGGUGUCAAAUUUGAUGACGAGAUUUUAGGACUUUGGUUGCUUGCUACUCUACCAGACUCUUGGGAGACCUUUCGAGUCUCACUCAUUAAUUCUGCCCCACAGGGUAUUAUUACUUUGGAUUUGGCUAAGAGUGGUGUGUUGAAUGAAGAGGUUAGAAGAAGAUCUCAGGGUUCUACAUCACAGUCCGAGGUGUUGGUUAUCGAGAACAGGGGGAGAAACAGAGACAAAGAUGGAAAGGGUAGAGAUAAAAGCCGAAGCAAGUCAAGAUCGAGAUACAAGAAUCUUGAGUGUCAUCAUUGUGGUAAGAAAGGUCAUAUCAAGAAAUAUUGCUUCAAGUGGAAGAAAGAGAACAAAGGUGGUGGUGAUAAACACGAUCGGAAUGACGAUGAAAAAUCUGAGCGUGUUGCUACUGUUACUCGUGAAGAUCUGUUAGUUAUUUGUGAUGAGAAUUUGGUCAACCUAGCAUGCGACGAGACUAGUUGGGUGAUUGAUACUGGUGCAUCACUUCAUGUCACAUCGAGGAAGGAAUUCUUCACAUCUUAUACUCCUGGUGAUUUUGGGCUAUUGAAGAUGGGUAAUGAUGGUUUGGUUUCGGUUAUUGGUAUGGGAGAUGUUAGCUUGGUAAGUAACAAUGGAACAAAGUUAACUCUCAAGGAUGUCAGACAUGCACCGGAUGUCCGUUUGAAUUUGAUUUCUGCAGGAAAACUUGAUGAUGAGGGAUUCUGUAACACCUUCAGUGAAGGGCAGUGGAAGCUGACUAAAGGCUCAUUGGUUGUGGCUCGAGGAAAGAAGAGCUCAAAUUUGUACUUGAUGCAAGCUUUGACUUCUCGAGAGACGGUGAAUGUGACACUGAAUGACAACUCAACUGAGUUGUGGCAUAAACGACUCAGUCACAUGAGUGAGAAGGGGCUUAGCUGUUUAGCGAAGAAGAAUCAACUUUCGGGUUUAAAGAAUGCUACACUGAAGAAUUGUGCUCAUUGUCUAGCAGGAAAGCAGAAAAGAGUUUCAUUUAGAAGCCAUCCUCCUCAUAGGAAAUCAGAGUUGCUAGAGUUGGUCCAUUCAGAUGUUUGUGGUCCGAUAAAAGUAAGAUCACAUGGUGGUGCACUUUACUUUGUGACUUUCAUUGAUGAUUGUUCAAGAAAGCUAUGGGUUUACACUUUGAAGUCUAAAAAUCAAGUCUUUGAGGUGUUUAAACAGUUUCAAGCAUCAGUUGAAAGGGAAACUGGGAAGAAGUUGAAGUGCAUUCGUACUGAUAAUGGUGGCGAGUACACAGGGUCGUUUCAUGAGUAUUGUUUGCGACAGGGAAUCAGACAUCAGAGAACACCACCAAAGACUCCACAGUUAAAUGGGUUAGCUGAAAGAAUGAACCGAACAUUGAUUGAGAGAGUCAGAUGUUUGUUGUCAGAUGCAAAGUUACCAAGAUCGUUUUGGGCUGAAGCUUUGAAUACAGUGACACAUGUGAUAAAUCUGUCUCCUAGUGUUCCUUUGAAAGGUGAUGUGCCAGAUAGAGUUUGGUUUGGUAAAGACGUGUCAUAUGAUCACCUACAUGUGUUCGGUUGUAAAGCAUUUGUUCAUGUUCCAAAGGAUGAAAGAUCCAAGUUAGAUGCCAAGGCUCGACAAUGCAUUUUUAUUGGUUAUGGUCUAGAUGGUGAGUUUGGUUAUAGACUCUAUGAUCCAGUUCAGAAGAAACUCGUGAGAAGCAGAGAUGUUGUCUUCAUUGAGGAUCAGACCAUUGAUGACAUUGAUAAGACGGAGAAAGUGGAUUCACAAGGUAGUGGUGACUUGAUCGAUGUGAAUCCGGUUCCCCUAGACUCUUCACCAGAUCCUAUCCAGGAUGAUGUGCAUGGUGAUGUUAGUGGUAACCAUCAGACUAUAGGUGACUUUGAUACUCCCAUGGAUGAUGUUGUGAAUGAUCAACAACAAGCACCUAUAGCUCCACCAGCAGUUCCACUUCGAAGGUCUUCCAAAGAUCGACGAUCUUCUGUCAGGUAUUCUCCUGAUGAAUAUGUUCUUUUGACUGACGGGAGAGAACUUGAAUGUUAUGAAGAGGCUAUGGAGAGUGAAUGCAAAGAUCAGUGGGUUGAAGCGAUGAAAGACGAACUUCAAUCCUUGCAUGAGAACCAUACUUUUGAAUUGGUGAAACUGCCUAAGGGCAAAAGAGUUUUGAAUAAUCGGUGGGUUUACAGGUUGAAGCAAGAAGAGAAGUCUUCAUCUCCACGAUACAAAGCUAGAUUGGUCGUCAAGGGUUAUACUCAGAAAAAGGGGGUUGAUUUUGAAGAAAUAUUUUCUCCGGUUGUGAAGAUGUCCUCUAUCAGAACUAUACUGAGUUUGGUAGCUUGUUAUGACCUAGAGGUUGAACAAAUGGAUGUGAAAACUGCUUUUCUUCAUGGUGACUUGGAAGAAGAGCUUUACAUGGAGCAGCUAGAGAGUUUUGUUGCACAAGGGAAAGAGGACUAUGUGUGCAGAUUGAAGAAGAGCUUGUAUGGUUUGAAGCAAGCUCCAAGGCAAUGGUACAAGAAGUUUGAGUCUGUUAUGGGGGAGCAAGGCUACAAGAAGACUACUUCUGAUCAUUGUGUGUUUGUUAAGAGAUUCUCUGGUGAUGAUUUUAUUAUUCUUUUGCUCUAUGUUGAUGAUAUGCUUAUUGUUGGUCAGAAUGCUUCUAGAAUUGAGAAGUUGAAACAAGAGUUGAGUAAAUCCUUUGCAAUGAAGGAUUUGGGGCCAGCAAAGCAAAUUCUUGGCAUAAGACUGACACGUGAUAGAAAGGCCAAGAAAUUAUGGUUAUCACAAGAGAGGUACAUUGAGAAAGUACUUCAAAGGUUUAGUAUGGACAAAGCUAAAGCGGUGAAUACUCCCUUUGCUAUGCACUUUAGAUUGAGUGUUAAGUAUAGUCCUUCCACAGAAAAGGAGAAGGAAGAGAUGCAGAAAAUUCCUUACUCUUCAGCCGUGGGUAGUUUGAUGUACGUAAUGGUUUGCACGAGACCAGACUUGGCUUAUGCCGUUGGUACAGUUAGUCGGUUUCUUUCUAAUCCAGGCAGAGAGCAUUGGAAUGCAGUGAAGUGGAUUAUGAGAUAUCUUCGUGGCACUUCCAACAUGAAACUUUGUUUCGGCAAUGAGAAACCUGUUCUUGUUGGGUAUACAGAUUCAGACAUGGCCGGAGACAUUGACUCGAGGAGAUCUACUUCAGGUUACUUAAUCACUUAUGCAGGGGGAGCUGUGGCAUGGCAAUCGAGACUGCAAAAGUGUGUUGCAUUGUCCACCACCGAAUCAGAGUUCAUUGCAGCAACCGAAGCGUGUAAGGAGAUGCUUUGGAUGAAGAAGUUUGUGUAUGAGCUUGGUUUUACUCAGGAGAAGUAUGUCCUGUACUGUGAUAGCCAGAGUGCUAUUCAUCUUGGUAAGAACUCAACUUUUCAUGCUAGAUCUAAGCAUAUUGAUGUGAGGUACCAUUGGAUACGAGAUGUUCUUGAAGCUAAGCUGUUAGAGCUUGAGAAGAUACACACUAAUGAUAAUGGUGCUGAUAUGUUGACGAAGGCCUUACCAAGAGGAAAGUUUGAAGCAUGUUGUUUGACCUCCGGCAUGGAGGCAUUCCCCACAUAGUUGGAGGGGGAGAUUUGUUGGGUAUGGGUCCCACUAUGUGGGAAACCCAUAUUUUCUGGCAUAAUGUUUUGUCUUUCUAUUAUUAUUGAGUGUCAAAUUCUCAAUUUAAAAGAGAGAAAAACAGAGAGUGAGAUUGAAGCUCGUUGGAGAAAAAGAGAGAAUAAAAAAAAAUCAGUUUUUCAAGCUUGGUGCAGCAGUGAUCAACUCCUCGAUCGAAGGUCCAUCCGUGGUUCGAUUGAGCUGAUUUUUGGACAGCAGCUAGAUGAUAAGGUGUUCUUGACUUUGUACAGUCGGAUUUUUCAUCCGAGUCUUGUAGCGUCAGAAAUACCCAUUUUUCAGCAGCUACGUUUUUGGUGAUGUUCUCUCAUUUUUCUCUCUUUUGCCAAAGAUUACAUAUUGUUAGCCUUGUCGGAGUUGAAUGCUUGUUGUAGGCUUGAUAUUGUGAUCUUGUAGUUGAACAUUUGAUGAUAGUGGAACUCUUGAUCGGACUCUAAAGUCCCGUGGUUUUUACCCUUGAUUUAGAAGGGGUUUUCCACGUAAAAAUACCGGUGUCUCUAUUUAUUUUUGUUGUGGUUGCAUUAGUUGAUUUGUGGUUGAUUAAGGUUGCUAGAGAACAUAUCUUGUGCUAUUGUGCUUGCCAUAAUUUUUGACAGGAGUUAUAAGGAGAGAAAGAACACCGGUUGUGCUUUCGCUUUAUUUCGGUUGUUCGGUUUCUUCCCAACAUAUUGGUUCACCCAUACACGACGCUGAUGGACACAGUGAAAAAGCUGAGGAUGACGAUGUUUUUGGUAUCGUUAAUGGACACAGUCAAAUUCAAAUUUAGUAAUAUUUCACUCAAACAACUCACGAGCUUCAUCGAACAUUUAAUUUUUUUAUAUUAUUAAAUUAUGUUAUUACCAUUCACAUAUAUUAUUAACCCUAAGCUUAAUUGAGUAUAAAAUUGAUAAAUGAGCUCAAAAUCGAAUAGCUUAUAUAUGAUAUCUUAUGGUUCCUAUAUGAUAUCAAGUCUUUUUAGUUCCAUCUAUAAUUGUUUUGCUUUAAUGACAUUAAUUUGGUAUUCCAUUUAUAUUAACAAAAUGUUAAAAUUUUGUUGUUAGUCUUUAUACUUUUCUAAAAUUUGACAUUUAGUCUAUAUACUUUAAAUGUAAAUAAUUUAAGUAUCUUACUUUUUCAAUUUAAAAAUCCUUGUGCAAUCACUAAAACCGUUACUAGUUUUCGUCAAAAUUUAUCAACUUGGUAUUAUACGAGGGUAGCCUAAUUAGUAUGCCAAAUUGACAUUUUUUUCGAAAAAUACAAACGAUAUUAAUAUCUAAAUUGAGAUUUUUAAAUUGAAAGUACAAUGACGGAAGAUAUUGUAACACCCCUUAUAUGGUUCGACUACCGACAUGGAAUAGCAAUAUCACUUAACAAGAUUAUUUAAUACAAUUUCAGACUUUUAUCAAGCUUUGAACACAUGUUUGAAAUUAUUUUGAACCAUUCCCAAGGUGUUUGAAUUUACCCACAACAUAAAAUGGGGUUCCGAGAACCUAGAAUGACAAAAAAAAAUACAAGUUUUGAAGGUGUAAUAUUGGCUUAAGUCUCGAGACUUAGGCAACAAAUCUCAAUACUGGGCCUAUAGGUCUUGAGACUUGGACUUCCUACUACAAAUUUUUACUAUUGACUUGCUAGUCUCGUUACUAAAAGAGUUUAAUCUCAAGACUUAAUGUUGGGGAUCUCAAAAUUAGUUCAAAAACACUUCGAGUCAUCCCAAACAUCAUUAUAUGAUACCAAUAAAUCUAAAAUAAUUUCAAAACCAUUUUAAAGCUCAUUCUAGCUUAAUUUCGAGUUAUACUCAUGUUCAAAUGUCAAAUAAAGUAUUCACAUAAUUUCUAAUGACACAUGGUAACUCAAAUAAAUGUAAUUAGAAACGUUAUGCUAGCCUAAUCUCAAGCUCUAUGGAAAAGUUGUUAAGCUCAAAGAGUUUCAUAAGUGCACUCAAACUUCCUACCUUACCUUAUCACAUAUAUAUAUUAUUAACCCUAAGUUUAAUUAUUGAGCUUAAUUGAGCUCAAACUCGAGUAACUCAAUUAUAUCUCGACCCAAGAUCAAACUUAAAAAUAGAUAUUCGAUCAAGUUCAAACCAAGUAUCGAGCUUCAAAUUUCAAGUCAAACUUAACAGUAUUUAGACUCGAAUUAGCUCAAUUCUAAAGCAAAAUAACAGUGGCUUAAAAGAGAGAAAUAUUCAUUUGUAACCCAAAUUAAAUGAGUUGAUGAUAACCAAUUAGAACUAACGUAUUGAUACGGGCGGAUGAUAGAGAAAGGACACUCCUAGCCAAGGCCUCUAUGUAUCUUAUGGUUCCUAUAUGAUAUCAGGUCUCUUUAGUUCCAUCUAUAAUUGUCUUGUUUUAAUGACAUUAAUUUGGUAUUCCAUUAAUUAUAUUAACAAAUGGUUAAAUUUUGUCGUUAAUCUCUAUACUUCUAUGAAAUUUGAGAUUUAGUCCAUAUGCUUUAAAAGUUCUAGUUCAAUCACCAAAACCGUUAGUAUUUUUCGUCAAAACUUGUCAACUCGACAUUAUAUAAAGGCAGUCUAAUCAACAUGUCAAAUUGGUAUUUUUCUGAAUAACACUAACAAUAUUAAUGAUUGGAUGAGUUUUUAAGUAUAAUAACUAAAUCUUUAAAAAAAAUCGCAUAUACUACUUAUUAGUUAGCUCUUCAUUUUACUUAUAUGAAGCGGUGAUUAAAAUUUUUAUCAAACACCCGUCUGAUAUAAGUUCAAGUUAUGUUAUCCUAUUCCAAUAUUUAUUAAGAAAAGUUUUUUUAAUAUAUAUUUACAGAGAAGUCCUAAUUGAAAGAUGGUAAUAGUUAAGGACUUAGACAUUAGAUAUAAGGAGAAAUUUUUUUUAUAAAAAAUCCUAAUUUAAUUAUUAUAAAAGAAGUUGUAUUUGGAAAUUUAAACCCAAACUUGGUAGUUGCAAUGUUAAAUAAAAUUUUUAAAAAAUCAAAUAAAAACUCAAAUCAAUUUGAUUCCUCUAUAAAAAGGGCAUACCCCUUUAGUUUCUUAGCCUUACAAAUUACCAAACAUAGACAUCCCAUUGCAUCUCCCAAUUUCAAGUCUCCAACACCAAAAAGGAGAGUUUAAAGAGGAAAAAAAUGGAUCAAACAGGAAACCAGAAGCAGAAGCAAUCACUGAUGAGUCAGUUCAUAGAAACUCAGUUCCAUAGAAAUCUGACUCAGUUGCUUCUUUCAGUUUCUAUUUUUUCCUUGUUUUUUUCUCACUCAUAUUGCCUUUCCUUGUUCCAUUCCUUUAGCUUCACUUUCCAUAACACACUUGCUUUCAAGUUUAUUAGCCAUAACAUAGAUAAAAACUUCAUAUUCCUUCUUUGCAAUGGCCUCCUUGUUUUCCUUGCAAAAUUUUCUGGACUCAUUAGUUCUUCAUCACAGCAGAGUAAUCUUAGUGAUGAUCACUAUAAUCAUCAGUCUUUCAAAAGCUAUACAUACUUCCCUCAAACUGAGUCGACCCGCUUGGACGCCUCAACACCAUUGUUGGACUUGGAGAAGGAAGAAAACGCUGGUUUUGUUGACGAAGAGGCAAAAGGGUCCUCAAUUGAUGAACCUUUUGUUGAAGACAAUGAAGAAAGUGAAACCUAUGAACCAGAAGAAGAAGAAGAAGAAGAAGAUAUUGAAGAAAGGGAACACUAUGAACCAGAAGAAGAAGAAGAAGAAGAAGAAGAAGAAGAAGAAUUAAUGGAAGGAAACAAUGUGUUAAGUACUGAAGAG